CUAUGUUACACAAAAUAAUAGUAGGCAUAAGUUCUAUGUAACAGCAAUGUAAACAAAUAUAUGUACACAGAUAAAGUCUGUUAACUCUGUAAGAGCAGAGGCAUUAGUGUGGGAGUGUGGCUGGGGUUGGGGAGGGUGUUUGCUCUGUGAGACCAGGGACGUGUGUGUGUAUAAGAGUGUGCUUGCCUAUGCAUUGCAGCAUUGCAGUUGUCCAGUAGGAUGCAUGGCACAGAUGUAUUAGUCAAAUAAUAUAUGAAGUGGGGGAAAAGGAACAUAGA
rnacentral:lncRNA from 1 species